rnacentral:rRNA from 1 species
UACGAAGGGGGCUAGCGUUGCUCGGAUUGACUGGGCGUAAAGGGCGCGUAGGCGGUUCGUACAGUCAGACGUGAAAUUCCUGGGCUCAACCUGGGGGCUGCGUUUGAUACGUGCGGACUUGAGUGCGGAAGAGGGUCGUGGAAUUCCACGUGUAGCAGUGAAAUGCGUAGAUAUGUGGAGGAACACCGAUGGCGAAGGCAGCCCCCUGGGUUAACACUGACGCUCAUGCACGAAAGCGUGGGGAGCAAACGGG